AUCCUUUUGUAGUUUGUAAGUGUAAUGAUUGGGUUUUCAUGUUCCUCUGUGAUGUAUACCGCCCCUCAGACCUUGCUACUACAUCAGCGCAUGACGUAUCUGAUG
ensembl:snoRNA